rnacentral:rRNA from 1 species
AAAGGAAUAGACGGGGGCCCGCACAAGCAGUGGAGUAUGUGGUUUAAUUCGAAGCAACGCGAAGAACCUUACCAGGACUUGACAUCCCUCGAAUUACGUGGAAACACGUAAGUCCUUCGGGACGAGGAGACAGGUGGUGCAUGGUUGUCGUCAGCUCGUGUCGUGAGAUGUUGGGUUAAGUCCCGCAACGAGCGCAACCCCUGUUGUUAGUUGCCAGCAUGUAAAGAUGGGCACUCUAGCGAGACUGCCGGUGAUAAAUCGGAGGAAGGUGGGGACGACGUCAAAUCAUCAUGCCCCUUAUGUUCUGGGCUACACACGUACUACAAUGGCUACAACAACGGGAAGCUAAAUCGCAAGGUGGAGCAAAUCCCCAAAAGUAGCCUCAGUUCGGAUUGUGGGCUGAAACUCGCCCACAUGAAGUCGGAAUUGCUAGUAAUGGCAGGUCAGCAUACUGCCGUGAAUACGUUCCCGGGCCUUGUACACACCGCCCGU